GUAGGUGGCAAGCGUUGUCCGGAAUUAUUGGGCGUAAAGCGCGCGCAGGCGGUUCUUUAAGUCUGAUGUGAAAGCCCACGGCUCAACUGUGGAGGGUCAUUGGAAACUGGAGAACUUGAGUACAGAAGAGGAAAGCGGAAUUCCACGUGUAGCGGUGAAAUGCGUAGAGAUGUGGAGGAACACCAGUGGCGAAGGCGGCUUUCUGGUCUGUAACUGACGCUGAGGCGCGAAAGCGUGGGGAGCAAACAGGAUUAGAUACCCUGGUAGUCCACGCCGUAAACGAUGAGUGCUAAGUGUUAGGGGGGUUUUCCGCCCCCCUUAGUGCUGCAGCUAACGCAUUAAGCACUCCGCCCUGGGAGUACGGCCGCAAGGCUG
rnacentral:rRNA from 1 species